UUUUGUAAAAGGCGAACCCUCCGAAAGCUGGGGACGCAAAGUCACAGGUCUUCCAUGGCAGCAUGAUGACGGCUGGACUGCCUGC
rnacentral:ncRNA from 1 species